AAGGGAAGGGUGGGGCUGUCCAUGCUGGGUGCUGAUACUCAGCCUGGACUUAAUCCCAAAUCACAGAAUUGUAGAGUUGGAAGGGGCCCUGUGGAUCAUCUAUUCCAACCCCCGAAUAUGCAGCUGUCCUGUACGGGGAUCAAACGCUCAACCUUGGCUUUAUCAGCACCAUGCUUUAACCAACUGAGCUAUCCAGGCUUGUUAGUGUGCCCAGGAAAUACAGUCCUGGUUUAACUGUACCAAGCUCAAGAAAGAGAUCAAAGAGGGCGGUUGGCUCAGGAUGCCCAUAGGAAAGGCAAAAGAGCUACAGAAUCAAUCAGCCUCUUUCCCCAAAGGUGUCAUGGAGGGGGUGGGGAACAGGACCAUUGCUCAGUGGUUAGAGCACAUGCCUUUCCAGGUAGGGUUCCCAGUCUGAAAUCCAUCUGUGCUGUUGCCGGUCAGUGUAGACGCCUCUGAGCUAGAUGGACCAAUGGUCUGACUCAGUACAAUGCAGCUUCCUGUGUUUCUACGAAUUUCUGUUGCUCCUUAUAAUGAGACAGGAUGUACCGUUUCUUACAGAUGCUUAUCAAACCUGAGAUACAGACACACCCACAGUGGAAAAUGCAAUGUCUGCUGGCAGUGGGAGGGCUGUAAUGUAGCGAGACAUACAUGAUAAUAAUUUGUACUAACAUUUUGUUCUUUCUUCCAGAAUUAAAUUACCCAACUGACCACAGAGGAGGGCUUGUUGUUUUCACCCACAAUGUACACACACUCAUUCUUCAUGUUACCACAUUGGUUUUGCAGAAUCGUGUAGCCGCAGCUCCCGAUCCUAUGCAAAUCUUCCCGGGAGCUGCUGACAUCUAGCCCAAUGGUUGCCAUGAAUUUGAUUUUGAAUUAAUUUUAAAAUGAAUUGAUUUUAGAAUGUUGUGUUACUUUUAUUGUUGUUAGCC